ACAACCAUUACGCCAGCAUCCUAGCCGAAGCGCGGACCUCAGUCCCGGCUGGCCGUAUUACACCCUGGGCUAUAACACCUCCACCGAAGUGGAGGCCACAUUCCCAGAGCCUUUAUCCGGCCGCCGAAACUGAUGCUGGCCUGUCCAAACUGAGUAAACCGGUCAGAAGACCGGCCGAACAGUUUAAACAAGUCUGAUUGCAAGCGCUUCCCUUUCAACAAUUUCACGUGCUUUUUAACUCUCUUUCCAAAGUGCUUUUCAUCUUUCGAUCACUCUACUUGUGCGCUAUCGGUCUCUCGCCAAUAUUUAGCUUUAGAAGAAAUUUACCUCCCAUUUAGAGCUGCAUUCCCAAACAACUCGACUCGUCGAAGGAGAUUUACAUAGGGUGCCAUUUCCUGUCACAUACGGGAUUCUCACCCUCUAUGACGUCCUGUUCCAAGGAACUUAGACAGGCGGCUUCCCCAAAUCAUCCUCUACAAAUUACAAUGCGAACCCGAAGGCUAGCUUUCAAAUUUGAGCUGUUGCCGCUUCACUCGCCGUUACUA
rnacentral:rRNA from 1 species